GACGAACGCUGGCGGCGUGCUUAACACAUGCAAGUCGAACGAUGAAGCUGGAGCUUGCUCCGGUGGAUUAGUGGCGAACGGGUGAGUAACACGUGAGCAAUCUGCCCUUGACUCUGGAAUAACUGCGGGAAACUGUAGCUAAUACCGGAUACGAGGCUCGAAGGCAUCUUCGGGUCUGGAAAGAAUUUCGGUCAAGGAUGAGCUCGCGGCCUAUCAGCUUGUUGGUGAGGUAAUGGCUCACCAAGGCGACGACGGGUAGCCGGCCUGAGAGGGUGACCGGCCACACUGGGACUGAGACACGGCCCAGACUCCUACGGGAGGCAGCAGUGGGGAAUAUUGCACAAUGGGCGAAAGCCUGAUGCAGCAACGCCGCGUGAGGGAUGACGGCCUUCGGGUUGUAAACCUCUUUUAGCAGGGAAGAAGCGAAAGUGACGGUACCUGCAGAAAAAGCACCGGCUAACUACGUGCCAGCCGCCGCGGUAA
rnacentral:rRNA from 1 species